rnacentral:rRNA from 1 species
GACGAACGCUGGCGGCGUGCCUAAUACAUGCAAGUUGAGCGCUGAAGGUUGGUACUUGUACCGACUGGAUGAGCAGCGAACGGGUGAGUAACGCGUGGGGAAUCUGCCUUUGAGCGGGGGACAACAUUUGGAAACGAAUGCUAAUACCGCAUAAAAACUUUAAACACAAGUUUUAAGUUUGAAAGAUGCAAUUGCAUCACUCAAAGAUGAUCCCGCGUUGUAUUAGCUAGUUGGUGAGGUAAAGGCUCACCAAGGCGAUGAUACAUAGCCGACCUGAGAGGGUGAGCGGCCACAUUGGGACUGAGACACGGCCCAAACUCCUACGGGAGGCAGCAGUAGGGAAUCUUCGGCAAUGGACGAAAGUCUGACCGAGCAACGCCGCGUGAGUGAAGAAGGUUUUCGGAUCGUAAAACUCGGUUGGUAGAGAAGAACGUUGGUGAGAGUGGAAAGCUCAUCAAGUGACGGUAACUACCCAGAAAGGGACGGCUAACUACGUG